UUCAGGUGAAGUUUCAUGGCUUUGUGAUUAAAGUAUUCAGCUCAUAAUCAUAACAUCGUAAGCUCAAUACCUGGUGGUGCAUUGUGUCCUUGAGUAAGACACUUUAUUUUACAUUGCUCCAAUCCAGUCAGCUGGUAAAGAUGAGUAGUAGUUUACUUCAAAUGGCCAACCAUGUCACAUUCAGUUUCAUGUUGAAUCUCUCUGAGAACUAUGUUAAGGGUACACAUGUCUGUGGAGUGCUCAGCCCCUUUUACAUUA